AAAUAAAUUUCAAAUAGUUGUUCUGUCUUUGCCUCCUCAGAAGUGUUUGGUAACCCAACUUAUCAUUAGCUUUUUCCAGAAGCUGCUACGCCUUCCGUCGAAAAGCAGAAGCGGCCUCACCCCCUCCUUUUAGAAGCCAGAAGCUGGGAGAUCACUGUGGCACUGGUGACUGUAAAUUAAUGAAAUUUCGAUAAUACCAGGCUCUACCCUCCCUUGGUUGAAGCAAUUACUCGAUUGCCAUGAAACCCUCUUCUCUUUGAUUGAUAUCUAGACGCCGCAUCAAUCUCUCUCCCUCUGACGCCUCCUCACCUGCCUCUCAUCAGGAUUUCGGGUUGGAAAUCGAAGGCUGCGUUUGGGGGGGGGGGGGGGGGGGGGUUCUUUUUAGCUCCCCUGCUUAUAAGCACAAGACCUUUGGUAACCCAGCUUCUUGUCUGCUUUUUCAAGAAGCAGUGGCUUCUUUCGACAACUGAAGCCGCCUCACCCCUGCUUUUAAUGAGUCUUUUGAAAUACUAAUGGGUACGUACCCUCAUGGAUUAAGAGUAAUUACGGCCCAAUACCAUUCGUGAAAACGCUGCUCUUCCAUUCGCGUCUUCUCCCUCAUCUCUGCCGCUCUCCUUCAUAGACGUCGAUCAAAACCCCAGGAUGGUUGUCGGAGUAAGUAGAGAAGGAAGGAAAACCCGAGAAAAAGGAUUAGUAUUGGUUCAGAAUCAGAGAAGGAAGACUGGAAGAUAGAGACGCGAUGGACUGACGUCAUUUUGAUUUUCUGGUUGAGUGUUUUUGACCAUGUCUUGGUGCACGAUUGAGUCUGACCCAGGGGUCUUUACUGAGCUUAUUUAGCAGACGCAAGUAAAAGGUGUGCAGGUAUGGGUUCUUUGAUGCCUCUGUUGUAGGUCCUUCUCUUGCUGCUGUGAUCAUAAUUUGUUGCCAGUCCAAUGGUACUGAUGUGUGUGUCUUCUCUCAUUUGACUAAGUUCAACUUAUUUAUAUAGCUAUGCAACUAGACAAGCACAAUCCAAAUGUGUUGGUUAUGAACACUUUAAGAUGUUGUAGGCAAUCUGAUAAUUCUGGCAAAAAUGAAGGUUAUUUUAUAUCUUUUGUCCUUAAAUCAUAUCCAGACAUCUAGUAUGAUGUUAUGUUUAUGUCUUAUUUGGAAUUGGAACCUUUAAUUUCUCAUAUGUUCUGCAUUGAUGUGGGUCAUGGCCACCUUCAACUUUUAUGCUUAUGUUCAGUCCCUUUUUCGGCAAUGGGAGGUCCUUUAUUUUUCCUUUUGCUUCAUUCUCUCAUUUAAUGCGAGGUUCCGUCCAAAUUUUAUUGAUAUGGUGGUGAGUACUAUUGCUUCAUUCUCUCAUUUAAUCAGCAUUUAGGACCUGAGUUUGGUGGUGAAGCAUGUUAGUUAUCUUCAAUUUAGAGGAAAGAACUAACACCUAGUACUGGUUUUGAUUUACUAUCAAGAUCAGAGGAGAAAGUGAAGCUUCUAAAGAGUGCUUGGACUAAAGCUGAACAAGAGGAAGAGAGGCAAGCUAUGGGAUUCUCAUGUUAAAGUAGAUUAAGUGAUAAGAAAGUUUCUGCAGUUGAUCAACUUAAUGAUCGUUGUGAAUUUUUUUUGUUUGUUUCUUUUGUAUUAUAAUACUUUGGGUGUAUAAAACUUGGAUUGGAUGCAUGAAUUUAAAGCCGUCAUGUGGUCGAAUUGAUUGACAGAUUUUCUUCGUAGUUCA